rnacentral:misc_RNA from 1 species
AGAGUCCUGGAGGCCUUAGAAGUCUCUUGAAAAAAUAGAGUUUGAGUCGAAUUGGUAUCUGAGCUGGGGCAAAGUACACGGCCCAUGUACCAUUACAUAGGGCAGGCCGUGUAACUCUCUGGAGCCUUGAACUCUUCAUCAAGUAGUGGGACAUGUUACACGGGCCAGGGACCAUUACACGGGUCUCUUACACGGAUCGUG